CGGGGCAUCACGGGAGUUGUAGUUUCCCUUCAGGUGACUCCGUCAGGGAGAAAUAAAUAGUUUUAUAAUUUGUUCCCUCAGAAUUAAUCUUAUUAUUAUGGCUUCCCAUUGCCAGAGGAUCUGCAAAAACUGACAUAUGUGGCAGCUGCAAAAAAAAUUUCCCUAGACUUGGACAGGAAUAUCCUCUCUUUCAUUAUGACUUAUCCUACAAGUCUUUAUCUCAACUUAUACAAAAUCAAGGUGAAAACCAGAAUUCCAACCUCAGUCCUUCAUUACAGCAACCUCUCUGCAAAAGGAGCA